ensembl:lncRNA
UAAGCGUCCAUCGCCUGGGUCUCUGCCGGGGAGAGCGAGAACAGCCGACCCCGAGGCGGGGUGGUUCCGGGCUGAAGCCUGAUCUCCAGAUCAUAGGGGCGAUGAGGAGGCAGCUUGGUGGUAGGCUCCUUUGCAAAGACCCGAGCCAGAUCGUGGUAUUGGGGUGGAAGGAGUGUUAAAUCCACGUCCUUGGGUGGUGUCUCCCUAGGCUGUGAUCCUGGAGACGGAUGAUGAAGGCGACAGUUAACACCCCAUGCCAUGACUUUACUGGUGGACCAGGAGAUGUGAGGGUCGUGGAGGCGGAACCAGGAAUGACCCAGAAUGAGAGGAGUCGUAGGGGCGUGAAUGACCAAGAAAUGAAGGGUCUCUACGUGUUCUCCGAUGGUCAUCCGGAGGUUCUGGGUUCGGUGCGUGAUCGGAUAUGGCAUGAGAGGGCGCCCGUCCACUGAGGUGACGGGAACGGGAUGAUCGAGGAGGGUGAGUGUGAUGAGGAGCUGCAUGAGUGGAAACUCCGAGUGAGGCAGCUCCUACACCGACCCGGAGGGACCGUUUCCCGGGCGUAUGGGGCAUGUUGCACGGGGAUGACCCAGAGCCCCACAAUAGGCGCAUCGUCCCUCCUGAAAACGGCACGCCCGUUCCUCGGGGGGCAAAUGACCCAGUUGCAUGGGUUCCUCCAUGGGUUGGUUCUCCUGACGGCGGGGGAAAGUUCGGGAUUGUACGGGAACCGCCCUCACUCCUGGUCUGGUGAGGAGGCAGCGGUCCAGCUGGAGAGCCAGGUCCACCGCCUGGUCCAGGGUGGUUGGAGCCUCGUGACCAAUCAUGCCCUCACGGAUGCGGGGUGACAAUCCCUCCAAGUACACAGCCUUCACCGCGGCAUCACCCCAGGUUAGACGGGCAGCGGUGGUCCGGAAGCGUGAGGUGAAUUCGGCCACGGUCUGAGAGCCUUGUCGAAGCUGGAGCAGGCGUGUCUCAUCUGCGACCUCGCUGCUGGGAUGAACGAAUGCCUUCUUCAGUUCUUUCACGAAGGCUUCAUAGUCGUUGCAGACUGGGGACUUCUGAUGGUACAGAGCAGCCGCCCAUUCACCGGCUCGCCCCGUCAGCAGGGAGGUUAACAGAGCCACGCGAGAGCAGGAAGUCGGGUAGCGUGCCGGCUGACACUCAAAAGUCAUUGACAGAACGGCCAACAUGCUCUCCGGGGAUCCUUUAAUCCCAUCCCAUUUCUCUGGGAGACUUAGAUACGGCUCCACCACGUUAGGAGUGGCAGAUGACUGUCGUUGGAGGGCUGAGGAGAGUUGGACUACCAGUUCGGUGACGGAAUCGAGUUUGGAUGCGAGGCGAUCAGUAACAGCACGCAGCUGAUUGUUCUCCACACGGAGUUGGGCGUUGUCCGCCUCCUGGCGUUCUACUCGGCUGAGCAGCUGCGCUACCUCAGCUCGCAGCUGUGCGAUCUCCGCUGGGUCUACUCGGGACUCAGUCAUCCUGUCAGGUUCGGUGGGCUGAGCUGGAGUGGUUAUGAGACCCAGGCGCGGAGAGAAUGGUGGAUGGAGACUGAUAUGUGGCAGAGUGGGAAGUUCUCUUCCCGUAUGGUUCGUAGAGUUAGUGUCUUAGGUCUUAGAAUGGCUUGGCGUCUAUCGUUAGAUGAUGACUGAGUGCCGGCUCCGCUGUGACAGGUCCUUAAAUAGGCUCAGCGGGAUGACGUCACCGGGAAGCGUCGGUGACAGGCAUGCUGGGAACUGGAGUGCAGCGCCAGCCCGGCCCGCAGAGGAGGUUAAGAGGAGGAGUUCAUGACAAUCUGUUGUGUUUUGGUCCUGAUGAAGUCUAAAUUAAAACCUGGACUGUAACGGUAUGAAAUGACUGUUUUCCACCAAAAGUCAUUUUCCCCCUCUCCUCUGACACAGAACCAGUCUGCAUGAGAUAUGGCCUCAAGGUCUCAUGCAUUUGCUACAAACUGCUUCUUUCCAGCUCAAGAGAAGAAUGAAGAAUGGACUCUCUCCUUUUAAUAAAUCAAAGAACUCUAUUUUAAUAAAGCUAAUCAAACAAAGUGUCAAUAAAUAAGGUGUGACCAGUCUGUGAAAUCAAAAUAUUAACUCAGUGACAUACAGCAAUCAGUAAAUUAAACCAUUCCAAUGCUUAAACACAAAAACAAAUUAGGAUGCCUGGAAAGGGGUGUGUGAAAUUUGAAGCAGGAUUAUUCAGAAUACUCAAAGCAGAGAGUCAUGCAAAGAGCCGGCACUUGGUUUAUUUUUGCAUUAUGCUAAAGUAAUACUUGCAGCAAUGAUAGUCAAGUCCAGGUGCAGCAAAGGGAGAGUUCUCUAACCUUCCUGUUAUAAUCCUUCAAUUAAUUUACUCAGGUUUUCUAAACACUCUCCAGUUGGUGGUGUCUGGAUCAUUCUAUGAUCCAGACAUCACCAACAAGACUAUAGUCUGCUUGCAUUCAUGAGCAGAAUCUCUCAUUGAAUAACAUCAUAAUCACUGUGCAAGAUGUCAUCAAAGUGAUGCAUUUAACUGCAAAUGUUCUAUUAAAUGAUGUCACAUUGCUGCCUCUAAAAGUUUGAUUUAAAGUAUUUUGCUUGAUCAGAAAAGAGGAACUAAAAAAUCUGUGUGGGAGAUGUUCUCCCACUGAAAGAUCAUUUUGAAGCUGAAAGUUCUCAUGAUAAAUAACAAGAUUGAACACAAACCAGAUGGUGAGUGAACGUGUGUCUCAGGGGAAACGGGUAUUGGAUGCUUUUGAGUGUCUUGCCAAAGAGCAAUUUAAUCAUUUUAUGACAGAACAUGAGCUGCAUGUUGAUAUUUUGCUCCCCCAUUUACCCAGCUGGCAUCUAGAACUCCUACAGAUAAAUCGCGUCAUGUCCGCAGAUUUUCCAGCACUGUGCUGUUAUUGGACUGGUGUUUCCUGCCACGGGCAGACCAAAGUUAAAAGCGCAUGUGAGGGAACGUCUCCUACACUCCGCCCUCCUCCUCUUCCUCCUCUCUGAACGCUGAACCGAUCGGAGACGCUGAGGGACAUCAUCCCGCUGACAGCGUGAGACAGUCCGGAUCGGACUCCGACACCUACGGGCUGAAGCACAGAGCAUGUCCAACGGACUGCUGCGAGUCGUUUGAUUCAUUUUGCAUCUUAGGAUACCAAAAGUCCGCAGAAUACGGCGGCAG